CAUCUCCUGAUUCCUCCCUCCCUUCCCAUUCUUCUGAGAGGGCCUGGAAUCUAACUUUAGGAGCAAAGCUAAUAGAGUCCCCAAAGUGGCUGCCAAGGGACUGGGCUGGCUUCUGUGAGCGGCCGCUGAGCCCUCGGGUCCAGAGCUCUGGGUGCCCAGCGCCCCGUGCAGACGGCGAGCACCUCCUCUGGGCUCUGGGCCCUGCACUGAGGGGACCCUGCACCGCCACCUGCACUGCUGCACUGCAAGUUCGUGACACUCAAGGACCAGGAAGGGAGGCUGAUUUUCCUGAAGGCACUAAGGGAGACGACAGAGGGAACUGCUUUCCAAGGUGCCGCGGGGUUCAGGGCUUCUGCCCUCCCGAGUCAGAUGCCAUCCGUGUUUCCUGAAGCAUCUUAACCUGGCCUCUGUCCUCCAGCCUAUCUGUGACAUGAGUCCUCAGAGAUCCUCAACUCCAGCCAGGUGACAGUGCCUCUGCGCUGCACGCGCCAUAAGGAAACAAAGGCUGUGACAGCACAAGAAGGUGAGGAAGUCUUCAUGGAGCUGAUUUUGGAGAAACUGAGGCUCAUUAAACAAACAAACAAAUGCCCAAGUACGUCCGCUUGCUGGCCUUCUGACCCAGCACGGGGAGCCGCUCUAACUGCCCGCUGCACUUCUACCCGGAUUCCGGGACUCCGUGCUCCUUCACAGUGGUAGCCCGGUCUCCUCCUGCAGUGUCAGCUUCAUGCAGAGCUGGAGAGAGGAGAGGCGGGCCGUGACCAGUCCUACACGCCCCUCCUCUAUCCACGUCCUCACCAUCCAGCCAGCACUGGGCCAACCCUUACCUCUUCAUGAAGCCUCCGCGACAUUUCCUUGACCUCCUGGUCUUCUCUAGAUCCCUGUUUGGUUUGAGACGGGUGUCACUAUGUUGGUAUCACUAUGUUUUCCAGGUGUGUGUUAAAUACCCUGCAUCAAGAGAUGCUUCUGUUUCAGCCACCCACAUGCUGGAUGACAGGUGUGCACCAUCGUGCCUGGUCUAAGCUUGACCUUCAGUGGCACCAGGAUACUUAGCACUUGUGAUGAGGUGCCAUAGGUUUACUGUAACAUCCUGCAGGUCUGGUUAACGAUGAGGUCAACCUUGUCACAGUCUAGUUCAGUGUCUGGUGCAUUAAAUGGCAGUAGUCACCACCCUCUUUACCCACAGGGGUAUUUCUGGAUCCCUGUGCGUCCUAAGGCGGUACCGAUCCCUAUAUUCAGGGAAUGUUCUCUUCUAUACAUGCAUAUGUCACGAUAAAGUUUAACUUACAAAUUCAGCACGGUAAGAGACACAGAAUAAUUAGACUGUAAUAAAAGUUACUUGAAACUUAGGAAUUCUUUCUGGAAUUUUCCACUGUUAUUUUGGGACUACAGUUGACUGAAGGUAACAGAAACCCCAGCAGGAGAAACUGUGGCCCUGGCAG
rnacentral:lncRNA from 1 species